CCUACGGGUGGCAGCAGUAGGGAAUCUUCCACAAUGGGCGCAAGCCUGAUGGUGCAACACCGCGUGAGUGAAGAAGGGUUUCGGCUCGUAAAGCUCUGUUGUUGGAGAAGAACAUUCGUGAGAGUAACUGUUCACGCAGUGACGGUAUCCAACCAGAAAGUCACGGCUAACUAAGUCCCAGCAGCCGCGGUAAUACGUAGGUGACAAGCCUUAUCCGGAUUUAUUGGGCGUAAGGCGAGCGCAGGCGGUUGCCUAGGUCUGAUGUGAAAGCCGUCGGAUUAACCGAAGAAGUGCAUAGGAAACCGGGCGACUUGAGUGCAGAAGAGGAAAGUGGAACUCCAGGUGUAGCGGUGGAAUGCGUAGAUAUAUGGAAGAACACCAGUGGCGAAGGCGGCUGUCUGGUCUGCAACUGACGCUGAGGCUCGAAAGCAUGGGUAGCGAACAGGAUUAGAUACCCGAGUAGUC
rnacentral:rRNA from 1 species